CAACCCUCAAGCCUAGCUUGGUAUUGGGCGUCACCGGCACGGUGCGCCUCAAAAUCAGUGGUGGUGCCAUCUGGCUCCAAGCGUAGUAACACUUCUCGCUCUGGAGGUCUGGGUGGUCACCAGCCAAAACCCAUACUUUCUCAAAGG
rnacentral:misc_RNA from 1 species